CCUUUGUUUCCCGGCGGAGUAGUUCCUGGGUUGCCGAGCGUCUCUGUCUCCGCAUCUCUCCUCGCCCCGCCUCCUCCCUGCCUGGAUCCGCCCUGCCCGCAGCCUCUCCUCCCCUUCCUCCCCGCCGCUACGGCCCCGGUUCAGCCGACUCCUAUACCAGCCGCCCAUCUCUGGACUCAGACGUCUCCCUGGAGGAGGACCGGGAGAGUGCCCGGCGUGAAGUAGAGAGCCAGGCUCAGCAGCAGCUCGAAAGGGCCAAGCACAAACCUGUGGCAUUUGCGGUGAGGACCAAUGUCAGCUACUGUGGCGUACUGGAUGAGGAGUGCCCAGUCCAGGGCUCUGGAGUCAACUUUGAGGCCAAAGAUUUUCUGCACAUUAAAGAGAAGUACAGCAAUGACUGGUGGAUCGGGCGGCUAGUGAAAGAGGGCGGGGACAUCGCCUUCAUCCCCAGCCCCCAGCGCCUGGAGAGCAUCCGGCUCAAACAGGAGCAGAAGGCCAGGAGAUCUGGGAACCCUUCCAGCCUGAGUGACAUUGGCAACCGACGCUCGCCUCCACCAUCUCUAG
rnacentral:sRNA from 1 species